GCCCGUACUGCUGUGGGGGAACGUUCGGAACGGACGCUAAUACCGCAUACGUCCUACGGGAGAAAGCAGGGUGACCUUCGGGCCUUGCGCUAUCAGAUGAGCCUAGGUCGGAUUAGCUAGUUGGUGAGGUAAUGGCUCACCAAGGCUACGAUCCGUAACUGGUCUGAGAGGAUGAUCAGUCACACUGGAACUGAGACACGGUCCAGACUCCUACGGGAGGCAGCAGUGGGGAAUAUUGGACAAUGGGCGAAAGCCUGAUCCAGCCAUGCCGCGUGUGUGAAGAAGGUCUUCGGAUUGUAAAGCACUUUAAGUUGGGAGGAAGGGCAUUAACCUAAUACGUUAGUGUUUUGACGUUACCGACAGAAUAAGCACCGGCUAACUCUGUGCCAGCAGCCGCGGUAAUACAGAGGGUGCAAGCGUUAAUCGGAAUUACUGGGCGUAAAGCGCGCGUAGGUGGUUUGUUAAGUUGAAUGUGAAAUCCCCGGGCUCAACCUGGGAACUGCAUCCAAAACUGGCAAGCUAGAGUAUGGUAGAGGGUAGUGGAAUUUCCUGUGUAGCGGUGAAAUGCGUAGAUAUAGGAAGGAACACCAGUGGCGAAGGCGACUACCUGGACUGAUACUGACACUGAGGUGCGAAAGCGUGGGGAGCAAACGGGGAUUAGAUACCCCGGUAGUCCACGCCGUAAACGAUGUCUACUAGAAGCUCGGGAGCCUCGGUUCUGUUUUUCAAAGCUAACCGCAUUAAGUAGACCGCCUGGGGAGUACCGGCCGGCAGGUUAAAACUCAAAUGAAUUUGACCGGGGGCCCGCACAAGGCGGGUGGAGCAUGGUGGUUUAAUUUCGAUGCAACCGCCGAAAGAACCUUACCUACACUUUGAACUUACAGAGAACCUUUACCAGAAGAAUGGGUUUGGUGCACUUCCGGAACUCUCUGAUAACAGGUGCUGCAUGACGUGUCUCAGCUCGU
rnacentral:rRNA from 1 species